UACGUAGGUGGCAAGCGUUGUCCGGAAUUAUUGGGCGUAAAGCGCGCGCAGGCGGUCCUUUAAGUCUGAUGUGAAAGCCCCGGGCUCAACCUGGGAAUGGCAAUGGAAACUGGCGGGCUUGAGUAUGGCAGAGGGGGGUGGAAUUCCGCGUGUAGCAGUGAAAUGCGUAGAGAUGCGGAGGAACACCGAUGGCGAAGGCAGCCCCCUGGGCCAAUACUGACGCUCAGGCACGAAAGCGUGGGGAGCAAACAGG
rnacentral:rRNA from 1 species